GGAAGAUUAACGGACCACCGCUGGAAUCAAUCUCCAGACGAGACUCGUACCAGGAUUGAGAGGCUAGCAAGGCCGACGCUCCAUCAAAACCUAAGAACAUUUCGCGAGGAACAACUCACGCACGGUCUGUGAAGAAGUUUGGCCGAGACCUCAACCCAAAGGCGGAGAUCCGAGAGUCAUCCGAGAACGGUGAGCGAAUUUCCGGCGUUCUUAAAUCCUCCGAUAGUCAAGAAAAAA